UAAUACAGAGGGUGCUAGCGUUAAUCGGAAUUACUGGGCGUAAAGCGUGUGUAGGUGGUUAGAUAAGUUAGAUGUGAAAUCCCCGGGCUUAACCUGGGCACUGCGUUUAAGACUGUUUAACUAGAGUACUGUAGAGGAUAGUGGAAUUUCCAGUGUAGCGGUGAAAUGCGUAGAUAUUGGAAGGAACACCAGUGGCGAAGGCGACUAUCUGGACAGAUACUGACACUGAGACACGAAAGCGUGGGGAGCAAACAGG
rnacentral:rRNA from 1 species